GGUGGUAGUAGUCCCAUGUCAGUACCUGUUCAGUACCUGGAUGGGAAACUGCCUGGGAACACCGGGUGUUGUCAGCU
rnacentral:rRNA from 1 species